CAGUCGCGUUCUCUGGGAUUCAGCCUUGCUUCUUGCUUGGUGCAUUUCCUAGUCUACGGGCCAGCAUGAAUCUUGAGCGGUGGAAAAGGGUUUGGGGAAUGUGGCACCUCCGGGUGUGUUAUAGCCCUGGGCAGAUGCGCUGCGCGGGACUGAGG
rnacentral:rRNA from 1 species